rnacentral:rRNA from 1 species
UACAGAGGGUGCAAGCGUUGUUCGGAAUUACUGGGCGUAAAGCGCGUGUAGGCGGCGGCGUUAGUCGGAUGUGAAAUCCCUCAGCUCAACUGAGGAAGUGCAUUCGAUACUGCGUCGCUUGAAUGUCGGAGGGGAUGGCGGAAUUCCCGGUGUAGAGGUGAAAUUCGUAGAUAUCGGGAGGAACACCUGUGGCGAAGGCGGCCAUCUGGACGACGAUUGACGCUGAGACGCGAAAGCGUGGGUAGCAAACGAG